rnacentral:rRNA from 1 species
GUAGGGAAUCUUCCACAAUGGACGCAAGUCUGAUGGAGCAACGCCGCGUGAGUGAAGAAGGUCUUCGGAUCGUAAAGCUCUGUUGUUGGUGAAGAAGGAUAGAGGCAGUAACUGGUCUUUAUUUGACGGUAAUCAACCAGAAAGUCACGGCUAACUACGUGCCAGCAGCCGCGGUAAUACGUAGGUGGCAAGCGUUGUCCGGAUUUAUUGGGCGUAAAGCGAGCGCAGGCGGAAUGAUAAGUCUGAUGUGAAAGCCCACGGCUCAACCGUGGAACUGCAUCGGAAACUGUCAUUCUUGAGUGCAGAAGAGGAGAGUGGAACUCCAUGUGUAGCGGUGGAAUGCGUAGAUAUAUGGAAGAACACCAGUGGCGAAGGCGGCUCUCUGGUCUGCAACUGACGCUGAGGCUCGAAAGCAUGGGUAGCGAACAGGAUUAGAUACCCUGGUAGUCCAUGCCGUAAACGAUGAGCGCUAGGUGUUGGGGCACUUUACC